AGUGAACGCUGGCGGUAGGCCUAACACAUGCAAGUCGAACGGCAGCACAGUAAGAGCUUGCUCUUACGGGUGGCGAGUGGCGGACGGGUGAGGAAUACAUCGGAAUCUACUUUUUCGUGGGGGAUAACGUAGGGAAACUUACGCUAAUACCGCAUACGACCUACGGGUGAAAGCAGGGGAUCUUCGGACCUUGCGCGAUUGACUGAGCCGAUGUCGGAUUAGCUAGUUGGCGGGGUAAAGGCCCACCAAGGCGACGAUCCGUAGCUGGUCUGAGAGGAUGCUCAGCCACACUGGAACUGAGACACGCUCCACACCCCUACGCGAGGCAGCAGUGGCGAAUUUUGGACAAUGGGCGCAAGCCUGAUCCAGCCAUACCGCGUGAGUGAAGAUGACCUUCGGGUUGUAAAGCCCUUUUUUUGGGAAAGAAAAGCAGCAGGUUAAUACCCCGCUGUUCUGACGGUACCCAAAGAAUAAGCACCGGCUAACUUCGUG
rnacentral:rRNA from 1 species